AUUGAACGCUAGCGGGAUGCCUUACACAUGCAAGUCGAACGGAGUGGCGAACGGGUGAGUAAUGUAUCGGAACGUGCCCAGUAGCGGGGGAUAACUACGCGAAAGCGUAGCUAAUACCGCAUACUAUUUGAGCGGCCGAUAUCGGAUUAGCUAGCUGGUGGGGUACCGGCUCACCUGGGCGACGAACCGUAGCUGGUUUGAGAGGACGACCAGCCACCCUGGGACUGAGACACGGCCCAAACUCCUUCGGGAGGCAGCAGUGGGGAAUUUUGGACAAUGGGGGAAUCCCUGGUCCAGCCAGCCCGCGUGUGCGAUGAAGGCCUUCGGGUUGUAAGGCGCUUUUGGCAGGAAAGCGGUACCUGCAGAAUAAGCACCGGCUAACUACGUGCCAGCAGCCGCGGUAAUAC
rnacentral:rRNA from 1 species